CCCAUUAAGGAUGUCUGGUCGUACAGGAAAGGGCAGGGGCGACUCCCCACUCUUCAAAACCCUAGAACUUCACUAAUCUUGCAAAUUGAAGGUCCAAUUCAGUCCAAAAUCGAAAUUUAAGCAUGGAUUAUUGAUCCUCAUCACAAGAGGAUUAAAAGUUUGAUCUCGUCAAGCUAAGUGGGAGCUGGAAAGGAAUGGAUCAAACGGAUCAUGGAUGCGAAGAAUGUUUGCGCGGACGCGAGGGUAAAACGGCUUAUGGAAUUUACGUGGCUAUGAAUCAGCAAAUUAUUAAGGCAAGGUAUUAAAACGGGUCAAUACUUUGACCCGCGCCAGGUACGCGUAAAUUUGGUGAAAGAUAUGUGAAUACCUUAAUGUAGAAAAAUGACAUGUGAAAGUAGAGAGUAGGAUUUAAACUUAAAUGAUUAAAUCCUCUCUAACGGGUCAAAAUAAGAACUUGAACGUAAAUGGGUUCUAACUAAGUAAGAAACCCAUGAUUUAUGAUUUAUUUGAUAGGAAAUAUUGAAAUUAUGAUUUUCAUGAGUUUAUAGAGCAAGUAAACAUGUUUGUUUGAUAAAAUCGCGAACGGGUUAAAAUUUGGUAAAAAUGGUAUUAAGCCGAAGACUUAAAAGUCUUAAAUUUUGUUAAUUCGGAUGUUGGAUUUUGACCCCAUACUAUGAAGGGUCAAAUUACAAUCAUGUAGGAAGAAACGGUGGGUCAAACGGAUAAGCGGUUUGAAAGAUACGAAAGUUUUCGUGCCAAUAAACGGCAAAAUAGGAAAGCUGGAAUGCAGGGGCCACCGUAACUUACGGUGACACCGUAAGUUACGGUGGAGUUGAAGGCUUUACGGCAGCCCCCUACUGAUUUACGGUAGGGGCAUGUCACACCAGGGGCCACCGUAACUUACGGUGCCACCGUAAGUUACGGUGGAGGCCAGUUGGGAAAUCCAUGUUUUGAGAUCAAGAGUUUAACGUUGGGAAUUCUUUUUCCUUCCAUUAUCAUUACCGGAUUUGUUUAGAUUUAUUUCAAUCCCCGUAUGACUAAAGCAUUUCAUGUUUAUGAAAUGUAGGUUCAUUUUGGAUGCCGAGAGACGAUCAAGCUCAUCGAAGAACCGAACACGAUAUAGUUACAUGCUUCCGCACUUUGCCACGUUGUAUAUUUUAAACAACGAAUUCGAUCACGUUUUGUAGAAUAACUUAUGAAUUGUAAAAGUUUUAAUUUACUCGAAGUUUUUUUAAGGAUACUUAACCUUAAAUACAUGUUUGUUUUCGUAAAUUAUACGAAAACCUUUAAAAUAAUAACUAGGGUGUUACAAGACAUAGAUCAAGGUCUUCUUAGGUCUGGAGACUCUCUUCUCCUCCACAAAAUCCUAGCACCUCUCCACCCUUCUCCUCCACCCCAUCUUCUCAACCGCCGCCACCCACCCUCCCACCAGCGGCACCCUCCCACCGUCCGCCACCACCUCGUCACCCUCCCAUCGUCCGCCACCCACCUCUGUAACCGUCGCCACCGUCCGCCAACCUCCCUCCUCAUUAGUCGUUGCCACCUCGUCACCCUCCCUCCUCACCAGUCGUCCGCCACCUCGUCACCGUCGUCAGCAGCCGCCAUCAUCAGCAGCCGCCUUCAUCAGUAUCUAUCCAGGUAAGUUAAAUUUAUGUUUUUUUUGUUAAUUUCAGAAAUUGGUGCUAGUUUUCAGAUUGCGGAGUUGUUUUUUAGAUUUUUUAUGUCAAAAUUUUGGUGUUAAUUUUAAGAAUUGUGGUGUUACUUUGCUGACUUUUAGUUGUUAAAAAUAGUUUGUAUUCUCAGUUUUAUAUUCUUCUUUUAAUCAUGAUUGUUUUUGUAUUUUAUAACAUAUAAAUGGUGCUGGACUGGAUCAAUGAGGUUGGACGUGUAGCGGGCUUGGAUGUCUGGACGACUAUUGGGCUUGCUGGAACUUGGGCUUAAAAGACUAAAGGAGAGGAUGCUACUAAUUGGGCUUCAUCAGUUGUGUGCAUGGGCUUCUAACUUCAUCAGUAUAGAUUGUAACUAUAUAACACUGACUUCAUCAGUUAUUAUAUUGAUUUUACCAGAUAUCUUUCUCUCACAAAAAAAGUUGUUCUGUCUAAAGAACUUUCUCUCUCCUAGGGUUAUACAUUUAUCAGGUCUUUUGUUGAUGUUCUCUUGUUGAGAUCGUGUGUCAGUCAUUUAGAUCUUGUAGGUAGUGUAUGCAGGUCAUCUAGUUGAUGAUCUGCUUGUGAAGAGUGGUUGUUGUUCAUUGUCUGUACAGUUUUUUAUUGACGAGUUUAUCAGAUCGGAGUCUUU
rnacentral:lncRNA from 1 species